rnacentral:lncRNA from 1 species
GGAGGCAAGUUCUUGAGAGAAAAAUGAGAUAUCCCUCAGGUUUUUAGGUUUAAAACUAUAUAUAAGACAUGCCAAACUCGAGCUGGUUUAGUGAAUUAAACCGGGUCAAACCGGAAUAAACCGGUCAACAUCUCCAAAUCUGUUCGUAGCGGCCAUCACGUCCCGCUACCAGUGGCCGCUAGCGAAUCCGCGUCUUCCCGAGCGGCGUCACGUCCCCGCUACCAAUGGCCGCUCCAGCACUCGCUCAUGAUGUGGCGACCUCAUUAACCCGCUUUGCCAAGCCGCUACGAACCUCCACGAGCUUGAGCUCCGAUUCGUUUUUCUUUGUCUCAAGACCCGAGCUUAACUUCUUCACAUCGCGACUCCAAUGACGUGAAGGCUCUCGGAGGUGGCUCAUGGUCUUGUCGUGCUCUGUUCUGGCGAGGCUCCUUCUCCAAAGACGAGAUCGUGCUCGGACCACCACGAACCCAUCACUAAGCCAUCGUCUUCUCCUCCGCCAUGGUCUGCAACUCGCGAUGCCGGCUCCAGAGCGACCAGCUUUCCUCACGGCUCAGCUCCGUCAUCGUCGCGGAUCGAAGUAAACCUCAUCGAAGAGCAACAAUGGCCAAUUCUUCCCUAUUUUCAAAACAGGUCCCUGAACUUCUGGUUCUUUACAAAUCGGCCCAAUACUUUGGAAUGUGCAGAAAUGACCUCACGAAUUGACCCAUAGACUUUUGAUUGUGCAAUCUAACCCAAGGGAAUAUUCUGAAACUGCAACCUUGGUCCCUGAACUUUGGAUAACUUCAUAUUUGACCCCAGACUUCCAUAGUGUGCAGCUUAGCCCUUGAAUUUCGCCCCAAACUUCCAAAUAAGCAUUCCAACCCCUAUGAUAUGCAAAUGAGUAUGCAAAUACAACACAAAGACCUAAAUGCAACCUAAAAUGAUCAUAAUAAGCUAAAAUAUGAAUCUAAAACUUAUAAAAAUCAUGAGAUAUCAUUAUCAUUAUGCUUGAAAGCAUGUUUUCAAUCAACUCGUGCUGCUGCUUACUGUUCACAUUGUUCAUCUACCAAGUAAACGACAUAUUUGUAAGUAGGCGUAGGAGCUGUUACUGUCACUAGAGUUAUAUGUUUUGUAUCCUUCUUUCUCGUCGUUACUGCAUCUACACAUUCAAACGACGUAAGGAACCCCUAUCGUCGUUAAACAAUAGUUAAAGCGGCUAUACACACGCAAACUACAUCCGGCAAGUUUCUGGCCUAGAGAGGUAGGUAGCUCAAAAAAAAUGAAAUCAAAUCAGAGAAGUAGUAAUAAUGUAAGCAUAAAUCAUGUUACAUGCAAGAAAAUCUGCCUCUUUGAUGCUGCAUCUAGAGAAGUAAGGCUACCGUCUAUCUUCCAUCUGUCUCCUCUGACUGGUGAUGAUCAAGCAGCAUUAGAAUAUUUGUUCAACUUGGUGCUUUUGAACAUGUUAUUUGGCAUCUCAGUCACACUCCUUAGUUCUGGAACUAAAUUUUAUCUACUGGUUUAUCAAAAUGCGAACAUACACUGUUGAUACCUCGCCAUACAGACAAUACACACAACUGCCAAAUCAAGCACCUGAAUUUUAAAAAAAAAAAAUCCUCUCUUUCAGUGUGUACCCAACACGACAAGCCAUCGAGAAGACAUGUUCAUUUUUUUUUUUUUUGCCAAAAUGUGAAUUUCAUAUUAAUGUGAGAAGAGUUUGUAAAUUUUACAAAAGUUUUAAUACUUGGAUAAGUCAGCUUCGGCAAAAAAUAAAACAAAGCUAAGUUAUCAAAAGAUGAGAUCCCGGUAGGUUACUCACGACGUAGCCAUUGCUGCAUAAGAGACAUGAACUCUUUCCUUUUUAUUUUUCCAAGGAUGGUGUCUCUUAUGAAGCGAUCAAUGAUUCUGAAUAUCCCUUGUGGCGUCCGAGCUUCACCUUCGUGCAAGCGUUUGUUUCGUUCUGUCCAUACGCUCGAUAUCGUCGCUUGGGCAACAAGUCGUUUGAGAGUUCUGCUUGUGACUUUGUCGCGCAUGGAGAGCCAGUCUGAAAAAGCUGUCCAUGUAUGAAAACCAAAAGGAUUAUAUCCCAGUCUCUGCAAGACCAAUUCCCAGACUGAUUCACUAACUUCACAACGCAGCAGGAGAUGAUCUCUGCUUUCUUCAUAAACUGCGCAGAGACAGCAUAACGGAGAUACGUUCAUCCCCCAGCUAGACAAACGAGAUCUGGUUGGAAGUCGAUCUUGGUGAGCAAUCCAAAUUGUGAAAGCAUGCUUAGGAACAUGCCCCUUAAACCAGAUGUUUUGUGUCCAAUUCCGAGUGGGUCCCCUGUUUCUAACUGCGUUCCACGUUUUGCUAGAAGAGAAGUUCGUGAGCUCUUCGCUGUCAACUUCCCAAGACAUGUUCAUUUUAAGAUGACUGGAAGAAGAAUAUUGUACAGGGGUUUCGAAGUAUAAGCUAUUACUUCUCUCGCUCCCCUUUCAAAUUUGUAUAUCGUUAUGCGUUUGUCUUAGGGCUAUGGAGUAUAUGGUUCAGUAUUAUAUGAUUUUCUUUAGAGGAAUAGGUGAGUUCCUAGCUUGAUCCUCUUUGUUCAGUUUGUGUGAUGUUAUGCCUAUGCUUGAACAUGUGUUGCACCUUCUGAAUUUGUUCAGUGUCCAUAUGACUGUCGUGGGCUAUGGCAUGAACUUUUCAGAAAAGUACCGCAACCUAUCUUACAUUGGCGUAUUGAAGCCUCAAUAUUCAUGUUACUAUAUAACAUGAAGUGAAGUCAGCUCAUUCUAUUGUUCGAAAAGGUAAAGCUAUACUACACUUCGUAGAUGAUUCUGAUGCAAAAGCUAAUGCAUUGUGACAUGUUUCUUUAGAACUUCACACAAUACAUUAUAUUCAAAGAAAUCAUCACAAACAAACAAAUUGUGCCCUCGGACUAUAAGGUUUAUCCAUUCUUAAGGAACUAUAGUCUUUCUUUCUUUUGCUACUUCCAGGUGGGGAAGAGAGUUCCGCUUAUGUUCCCCACUCUGCCACUCACCAGCAUGCAUGCUCGGGUCUCCAUUGUAUGUCUCACAAACAUCACCAUUGUUCAUUACCAUCAUGCUCAUGUCAUUUUGGAGAUUUAUAACAUGUGCAUGAUCUCCGAGGCCUCCCGUGCAGUCUAAAGGCAUCUCCAAUAGAACUCUAUUUUCUCCUCUAUAAUUUACAUUAAAAUAGAGUUAUUCUAUUUUGAUGUAAAUUAUAGAGAAAAAAUAGAGUCUCAUUGGAGAUGGUCUAGCUACGAAGCUACCUCUUAGGUUGAUGCUUCAUCCCACGGAAAUAUUUGGCGAAUGCAGUGUUAGCGCUUUCUCCACGUGGCAGAAUUCUUCUUCACCGUCUCCUUAUUCAAAACAUAGUCUCACCAAAGCAUCAUUCAGUUCUGAGUUCACUCAUUUUCUGGAUUAUUGAUGCUUCAUCCCACGAGAAUAUUUGGCAUCGUCACAUAAUACUUUUUAUAAUUAAAACAUUGAUUAAUGUUUAGAAAUAUUUGUAAGACUUUAUAAAUUAUUGACUUACUAAAUUAAUGGUUUACUAAAAUAAUAAAUAUUGUAAUUUUAACAUUUCUAAUUUAUAUAAUUUUACGUAUUUAUAUUUUAUGUGGAGUUCAUUAAUCAAUCUAAACUAUUAAAACAAAAGUACAUGUAGCAUUUGACCCUAAAUUUUUCUCAAUAAUUUCCAGCCUGUGUCAUUCAAUCUUAGGGGCUGUUAUUGGUUUAUAUAUUUUGAUUGAUUUAGAAAUCCAUAUAGUAUUUAUAAAUCCAAGUAAAAUAUGCAAAUCCGGAGGUUUUCCCUCGGAUUUGAGUCUUUGUAUUUUUAACUAAAAAAUCCAAACAAAUCCAUUCAAAUCCAUUAUAAAAUCAAAUAUAUUAGUAAAUCCGUACAAUUGAAUAACACUUGAUUUAAUAUAGAAUCUAUGAAUCAUUAAACUAAUAACACAUGAUUUUAAUACAGAUUUUAAAAUCACAGAACCAAUAACACUAGAUUUUGUUCGGAUAGUCAAAUCCAUUAAAAUACAACAACCAAUAACCCACACUUAACAGUUUUAACAACAAAUUAAAUCACUGAAGCUUUAUUAGUGGAUCUAGGCAAGUUGAUGAUGUACAAUAAUUAUCUUGGCCUAAAAAUGAUUAUAUCAUCAUCUUAUAUUAAAACAGAAGUAACAGAAGUCACAACUUUGAUUCAUGUGUGAUUUUUUAAAAAUUAGACCUAAUGAAUCUAUUCCUAAAAAGUUAUGUUACAUUUCAUUUUUAAUCUUAUCAUUUAAAUUUUGAACCUACUAGAAAUUUUUAUUGGGCUAUCAAUAAUUGGAUUUAAAUAAGAUAUGAUCUAUUGGAUUUAUAUAUAUUAUAAAUUAAAUAGAUAUAAUUUAAUGUUGUAAUACUAUACCUCCAUAUGUUAAAUAUUUAAAUAUUUGUCGAUGUUAACUUUUAAAAUUAUAAAGAUUUUUUUUUAAAUAACAAAAAUCAUAUUAUCUAACAAUGAUUAAUCUUUACUACCUUAAACCAAUGAAAACAAAUUUUAAACAAUAUAUUUUAUUUUAAAAAUUAAACAAAAACUAAAUGUUUAAUUAUUUACUCGAUAAUAUAAAUCUAUGAAGCGAAAAUUUUAAUUUUUAAAAAACUUUCUAAAAUUUUGAAAUGUUACAAUAUCUUUGAAUAUGACAAUAAAACAAUAUUUUACUAAUCUUUACAUUUAUAGUUAUGAUUUUAAUAAUAAAAUAAUAAUCCGAAAAUAUAUAUAUAGAAGAAGAUACAAAUACAUGUGAAAGUUUAAAACAAUCUAUUCAAUGAAAAAUAUACCGUAAACUUAUUAUGUUUUAAAAAUUGAUAGGCACAUAUAUAUUAUAAUAUAUACCAAUUUAGAAUUGAAAACAAAAUAUUUAUAUAAAAAUAAAUGAAAACAAAAAUUCGCGCGGUUGCGCGGAUCGAGAUCUAGUAAUAAUUUAAAACUAAUUUAUAGUAUUCUAACUUUAAUCAAAAGAGUUGUAAAAAUCAUGCGAUGUAUGUUCAACUUUUCUACUGCUUGGCUUAAAUUUAUAAUUUUAUAAACGACAAAUAUGUUUUAAUUUUCUGAUACUAUGUAACUAAAAUGAUUCAUCUUUUUGUGAGGAAAUUCAGUUAAUACUUUUUAAUUAACGCAUAAUAUACCUUAAAUUCAAACGUUGUUCCAUCUAAUUAAGGUCUUGAUUGGCAGAGCUGAUGAUGAAACAUUAGCAAAAUGCUAUAGAAACAAUAUGUUGCAGAGGUGAUCUUUGAUCCUGUUGCUGGAGAGGAGGGAUUACAAAAAAAUUCAAAGUCUUGUUUUGAGUGAUAGAGCUCCUGAAGGAGAAGAGGAGGAUGUGAUGGAAAUGGAUGAGUUUCAAGCAGCAUUGCUGGAACAUGGUUUAGAUGCGCAGGCGAUAGAUGCUCUUCCGGCAGUCUCUGAGGAGGAAUUAGAGGAAAUGAUUGCGGGCUACGAAGAGGAUGAUCAACCUCAGGAGGCAGGGGAACAGGCUAAUGGUGCAGAGGAGAAGAACAAGGAAGCAACGGAGCAGGCACAGAAACAGGGGACUCGUAAAAGAUUGUUUAAACCAUCAAUCAAUGUCGCAGGAAGCACAAAGAUGAGGAAUGCAGCUGCGCUUGUCUCCCCUCGCAAACGUGCUGCAAGUAGGACGGGGACUCGUAAGGGGGAUGCAAACAAGCAAUUGGAGAGUAAGGGAUCGUCAAGCCUGAACUCUGGAAAUCUGAAGAAUUAAUUUAUGGAUCAAGUCUUACUAGUUUCUAGCAAGCAGGGUUUGGGGGUUUUACUUUUCAAGGUUUUUUUUAUUGUUGUUUUGGUGUUGGACAAGAUCUCUAUGUAAGAUCAUGCACUGGAAUAAAAUUUGCUAUUUGGAUUAUUGGUGUUGGGUUUGUUUUGAUCAGCUAAGUAUAAAUUUUGCAUCUGGAUGUUUGGGUCCUCUCCGUAAGACGUGGGCACAGGGUUUGGCUUCGUUAAUGGGGCUGUUAUCUAUUCGACUGAAGGUGAUAUCUCGAUGGCUCCUACACUGCAGAAACAUGGGUCGGGUUUUGUGGUUUGAGGUUUCAUUUGGUUUCCGGAGAAGUGCAUCUUGGAUCACAAUAUGGAUUCUCUGGUUCUUACAUUGCAGAAUCAGAGUUGGGCAACUCACGGUUCAUAAGUUGGCUACUUGUUGGACUGUGUGGGUAAUAGUAAUCAAUAAUGUCGUUUUGGUCCUUUUGUUUAUUAUUCAGUGGGAUCAUUAUGAGGUUGUAGUAACAUAUUAUCAGUAUUUGUUCUCAACGGUUUUGUUUUGUGCUUGGUAUUGGUUUUAUAUGGAGCGGGAAUUACUUUAUACUAUAGCCAUGCGAGUUCUUUUCAUUCUACGGCCACUGGUGCUUGGCUUCUAUACGUUGUUCUUACAGGAAGUGUUGAUACUUGCAAGAAUCAAGAGUUCCAAGAGACGCUUGGAUAUUAUGAAACUGGUGUUGGCUAGUGACUACUUUAAUAUUUCAUUUUUUCGCGGGAUAUAUAAGAGUUUUUAUUGGAGGUUUAAAGGAAAAUUAUUAUGGGUUAGGGAUAAGGUAAUGUUAAUAAGCUUGAAGAUAUUGAGAAGAGAAUUUUUACUUUGGGGGAUGGAGAAUUCAGGAUAUCAUUACACCCAAUCUCGACAGCUCAAAGGAGUUUUUAUAUAUUUUUUCAAUGAGAACACUAAGUUGGAAUUACCGAGGAAUGGAAAGUAAGUGGACGAUAAGUUAUUUAACAGAGAUAUGGCAUAAACAUAAGCCGGAUUUUUUAUUUUUAUCGGAGACAAAGCAAGAAUUUGAGUUUGUUCAGAAAUUUCAAGGUCAUUUCGGAUUCGAUAAUUUGGUCAUAGUAGAUCCGGUGGGACGAAGUGGUGGAUUAGCGCUUUAUUACAAUAAUGAGUAUCAGGUUAAUGUGUUAUAUUCAAGUAAUCGAAUGAUAGAUGUGGAAUCAGUAGCUCUUGGGAAAACGGUAUAUAUGACGUUUGUGUAUGCAGACCCAGUUCAAGAUUUACGAGAACAAGUGUGGGAACGUUUAACUAGAUAUGGAAUUUCGCGAUCAGAGCCUUGGUUUAUUAUUGGUGAUUUAAAUGAGAUCACAGGAAAUCAUGAAAAAGAAGGUGGAGGGUUGCGAAGUGCGAAUUCAUUUGUUCCUUUUAAUAAUAUGAUAAGGAAUUGUGGUCUACUGGAAUUCCCAGUCAAAGGAAAUAAGUUGUCAUGGCAAGGAAGGAGGGGUAAGGGCAAANNNNNNNNNNNNNNNNNNNNNNNNNNNNNNNNNNNNNNNNNNNNNNNNNNNNNNNNNNNNNNNNNNNNNNNNNNNNNNNNNNNNNNNNNNNNNNNNNNNNNNNNNNNNNNNNNNNNNNNNNNNNNNNNNNNNNNNNNNNNNNNNNNNNNNNNNNNNNNNNNNNNNNNNNNNNNNNNNNNNNNNNNNNNNNNNNNNNNNNNNNNNNNNNNNNNNNNNNNNNNNNNNNNNNNNNNNNNNNNNNNNNNNNNNNNNNNNNNNNNNNNNNNNNNNNNNNNNNNNNNNNNNNNNNNNNNNNNNNNNNNNNNNNNNNNNNNNNNNNNNNNNNNNNNNNNNNAAUAACUAUCUAGCAAUUUUAACAUCAAGUGUCCUUGGCUAAUCUCACUAGAGCUUAGUUGAGUUGAUUCAAACACUUCAUCUAAUCAUGUCUGAUGAGAAGUGUUUAGAAAUCAGGUUUAGAGUGAUCAAGACUAAACAAGCAUUAAAAAUACUCAACAAGCAAGUUCAUACAAGGAUCUACAAUAAAACACCCUAAAUCUACACUUAAUCACCCUAAUCUACCUUAACCAUGAAUCCAAGGAGUGUCUACUCUCUAAUCUCCAUGAGAAACCUCAAACCCAUGAUGAAUUCAAGGCUCACCAUGUUUAUGAAAAGGAGAAACAAGAUAUAGAAUUAAAAACUUUCUUAGAUUGUGAUAUAAAAAUCCAAGCUUUUUUACAAAGGGAGGCAAGUUCUUGAGAGAAAAAUGAGAUAUCCCUCAGGUUUUUAGGUUUAAAACUAUAUAUAAGACAUGCCAAACUCGAGCUGGUUUAGUGAAUUAAACCGGGUCAAACCGGAAUAAACCGGUCAACAUCUCCAAAUCUGUUCGUAGCGGCCAUCACGUCCCGCUACCAGUGGCCGCUAGCGAAUCCGCGUCUUCCCGAGCGGCGUCACGUCCCCGCUACCAAUGGCCGCUCCAGCACUCGCUCAUGAUGUGGCGACCUCAUUAACCCGCUUUGCCAAGCCGCUACGAACCUCCACGAGCUUGAGCUCCGAUUCGUUUUUCUUUGUCUCAAGACCCGAGCUUAACUUCUUCACAUCGCGACUCCAAUGACGUGAAGGCUCUCGGAGGUGGCUCAUGGUCUUGUCGUGCUCUGUUCUGGCGAGGCUCCUUCUCCAAAGACGAGAUCGUGCUCGGACCACCACGAACCCAUCACUAAGCCAUCGUCUUCUCCUCCGCCAUGGUCUGCAACUCGCGAUGCCGGCUCCAGAGCGACCAGCUUUCCUCACGGCUCAGCUCCGUCAUCGUCGCGGAUCGAAGUAAACCUCAUCGAAGAGCAACAAU